CAGAGAUCCAGACUCUCUCUUGUCUCUGUCUCUGUCUCUGUCUCUGUCUCUGUCUCUCUCCUAUGAAUCAAAUGAUCAAUGGACCAACACUUUGGCAUAACAGCAGAGCAAGCAUUGGCCAACAACAGCGGCAAGGUAAAUAAUGGCUAUUAAAAAGGAAGGUUGUGGAAGGCAAAAGAUAAUCUUAAAGAAUUGGCUUUGGGUCUUGCCAACCACAGAGGUUGAUUCUCUUUAAAAAGAGUGAGAUUUCCACAUUUACCUUAAUUGUUCAUCACAAAAUUUGAUUGUGUUUUUAUUUUUCUUGUAACUUCAUUAACAAUUUUUGUCUGUGGCAAUAGAUUUUCUUGGAGCCAUGGAAAAGACUUAUCGUGGCUAUAAUAUAACAUGGGGAAAUCAGUCUAUCUAACAAAAUAGGUGAAAUCUACUCUUCUGUUAGAACAUGAUGUAAGGAGACAAGUGCAUUGAGUAUGGCCUUUGUUUGGAGUUUAUUAUUGUUGUGAGCUAACUGCUAAACUUUGAUUUAAGAUUAUUACUUAAUUUGAUAUCACUAUCUUUGCUCUGGAUAGCACUCUACUUGGUUGUAUGAUGAAUUGAGAAAUAAUUUUUAUGUUUGGGACGGUAGUAACUGAAUUCACUUGUAUGUGAGUUGCAGUUUUGGUUAAAAAUUAUCUAUGUACUAUGUUUCAGGGGUUUGGUGGCUCAUUUUGAUUAAACUGUGCAAAUGAAGGUGAUUGUGUCACAUGUUGAGAAGGAUAGUGACUAACUCAGAAAUGGCAAGGCUCCAUUGCAUGUUGGAUGUAUCAGGCUCAGACUUUAUACUGACGCUAUCCAAGUGACUGACACUUGGCUUCGUCACCUUGAUGGUGAGCUAAGUCAGCCUGACUUGUGCAUCCAAGAGUUGAGAGUUCCAUCUAAUAGAAGAAUCAUUUUGAGAGCAUCUCUCUCCAAGCGUUUGUUGUGGUGUGCCUCAUAAUCUAGUUCUGUCAUGCAUAGAUGAUAGAUGUGAAAGUCAAGUUGACUUAGUUCAUUGCUGGGCAUUCAAAGCUAAGUGUCAGUCACUUAGGUAGAAUCAGUCUAAUACCUGGGCCUGUGACAGUUGUGGUAUCAGAGCAAGGCACGGUGGCAGCAUAGGGGUGCAGACUGAGUGAUCUUGGGGCCUAUGUUGAAUGAUGUUUAUAUCAGAGUAAGCCUUUCUUUUGUUUGUAUGUUGAUGCUUAUAGCAUUAUUGGGAUUUAUAGUCUUUUCAUAUUAUUGGAUUAGUGCACAUUGCACUAUUUCGUUGCUUUUUAGUUAUUAUGGAGGUAAUAGACCAUAGGAUGACUUGCUUUGAUCUAUUUCAUUUGGUGGCAUACAAAUAAAUUUCAGUGGUUUUUCCUAUCUUCUGGAGAUCCAAGUCCUGUUCGAAGCUGUUCCCAAUUUAUAUGCACUUUUAGACAAGAUCUUAGUCUUGGUCCCUUUAUUCCUAUAUGUUGUUAUGGACCUAUGGUGAGUCAUGGUACUGUAAAUUAAAUUGAGUUCUCUUAUUCUGAAUCGUUUCUCAUUUCAGAGUUGCUCGCUUUAUCAUGACAGUCUGUUGCUCUUCCUAGUCUUAUGUAACAAGUAACUUCUUUUCUCAGACUAAGAGAUUUGAAUAGCACGUGAAUUGACAUCAGCCAUGUCCAAUCAGCAAUGUACCAUAGAUUUGAGUAGCAGACAGUUGUCAGUACCUUGUCAGUUUCAAGCUUGCUCAAUGCCGUUGACUCCAUUGAAAAUUUUAAUCAGAAAGCCUUCUUGAACUCGUGCAGCUCGGAGAGUUCAUUGACAUCUGAGGAUCUUUUCCACAGAAGCUGGUACCUGUUGAAUCCUCCCAUCGGGAUAAUUCAGUAGACAGGGGUCCACCCAGCAAGGACAUUUGUCCUUCAGUUGAAUCUGAUGAGUCAGUCAAUGAUUUUAUUCCAGUAAACUCCGAAAGCAUGAUUUAUUGACUCAAUUCACCGUUCAAGUUGCUUGAGUACUGAGGAUCUAAAGACAGUGUGGUUUCAGACACCUUGAGGGUCAAUCAGGUUAAUGAACUUUGGUAAUGAUCAUCAAAAAAGAAUGGCCAUUCUAAUUGGCCUGUUUUCAGGCCAAUGUUUUCAGAGUUGACUGCCACGGAGAGUCUUAAUGGCUGCAAUGCUGACUCUGAAAAUUUGAGGUGGUUGGGCACUUGAAUUUGACCCGUUGGAGGCAGAAUUACAGACAGUACCUAAAGAGUGGUUGUGAAAGGGAGACCGGACUCUUGCCCUUGUCUCUACUUGGUGUAUCAAUUACACUAAGUGCCAUAUUCUCAAGAAAGGUGCCUUUGUAAUCUGAUCUUGGUCCUGAUCCAAGCAUUGGAAGUUUGAAAGAACGUUUUGCAACAUGCUUUGGAGUGCUUUCCAUCUAAGAGUAAAUGAAACAUUUUGAGUUAUUACUUUAACGUGUAUAUAGCUAGAAUUCUGUGGCUGCAAAAUAGGUCAUUUGUACACGAGUUGACAGUGAUGAUAAUGAGGUGCGUGGAAUGGAUUUAUGCAAAAAUUUCAAAGGUAGGAGAGCUCCGUGAGUGGUAGUUCUAAAGAUGUUAAACUCCAUACUUGCAACAGCAUUAUUGAUUGCUCGAGGAUUGAUAAUGUCUGAAACCUUUGCCAGGACUUGAAUUCAGAAGCUUCUAGUUGUAGGUUGAUUUUUUUGCCCACCAUUUUCAAGUAUUACCUCACUGCUGCUUCGAUUUAUGAAAAUAUUAUUGAGCUUGCUUGACAAAUUUCUGGGUUGAUAUUCAUGGAGAUUCAUUUUUCUGCAAUUACUUCUCUUUGCAAGCAGUCAUUAUAUUCUGUGGUAGAGCAAGAGAAACAUCUUGCAUUGUCAUAACUUGUCUUGAUUCUGAAUGUACACACACACACAUAUAAAACUGGUUUCUGGCUAACGAUUGGAGUUUCCAGUUUGUUAAUGUGUGAUACACUAGGUCAAGAAUGGUGGCUUGGAUGAAGCAUAUUGAAGAAAUCAAUUUGCAGAUUGAGAAAGAUUAUUGAUAUUCUCAGCCAAACAGGUACUCCUGUGCCUUGGAACUUGAACCUGGGUGGGAAACAAAGUGGAAAGUGAAGAAAAAAGGAGGAACUUAAGCUAGCUUAUUUACUUUUUUAAUCAGGUUAAAAAUGUAGAGGGUGACACUGAUGAUUUGCAUGGAGCUUUGGAUGGAAAUGUAUAGAUCUUUGAAUUGGAUUUGUCUUCAAAUAUCUCUCAAAGAAUUAGUUCUGAACAGAGUUAUGGCGAUCUUGAGUUCUACUACCCAAUACGACAGAAACAGGAGCCGGUUUCAUUUGAACCCAUCCAUGGAAGCACAGCAAUAACAGCAACAGCAACAUAUCAAAGCCUUAAUCCCUCUGGGGUUGGCUACAUGAACUCUACCUCUAUGGCCUUAUCUCGUUCCAUGGAAGCACAGCUACAAUAUGCUUGUAUCUGUGGCCUUCACCAUACGCUCAAUUCGCUACAUUGUUUAAGUCUGUUUCAUUUUUAACUCUUAUCUAUAGAAUAAGCUUGUUGAUAUCUUUCUAUACGAGUAAAACAUCAGCCAAUGAAAUACCUAGACAUGAAAUUUGUAAUGUAAACAAGACAGGCAGUAAAGGGA